UCUAUUUAUGCACAAACAAAUACUAUACCUAUAUGUGCAAUUGUUAUUUUUCUUUGCUUUGUUUCCUUCUCUGUAUGAUUUGAUUUUGCUCCAGACAGAUGCCAUCUCUUCGGUAUAAAAAAUCUGAGCAUCUUUCCCUUUGUUUGUAGUAUUCUCGUCAUAAAAACAUUCAUAAUCCAUAAUCCAAUGCAAACCACAGCUGGUGUGGUCAGUGAGAAAACCAAUGCUGUUUUGAAUUCGGCCUGCACAGUAAAUUAAUGUUUUGUUUAUGGGUCCUGUUUUCAGUGCCCUGAUAACCGCGUGUCUGUGUCAGGAAAGAGUUAUCUAACACACUGUAUGGGAGGUUUUAGAUCUAUACUCCCUCUGUUUUUUAAUAUAUGACGUUUGACUUUUUGGCACACACUUUUAAGUGCUUUGACCGGAUAGUUAAAAGUAUUAUUUUUGAAUUUUGCUUUUUCUGAAUAACAAUAUACAAUCAAAAUUUUAAUUCACAAAAAAUAUCAAUCAAAAAUAAUGUUUUUUACUAUCCGGUCAUCCCACCUAAAGUUACGUGCCCAAGUCAAAAGUGUCAUAUAAAAAAAAACAGAGGGAGUAUAUUUUAAGAGUUCGGAUCCAAUCUUUUAUUUAAUAUAUUCACUGUAAAUAUCCGUGGAAGGGGAGUUUUCCUUUCCGCGGAUAAUAUCCGCAGACACCUUAAAUUUUUUUAUUACAUAAAAUCUUUCUAAAAUCUUUGAUUACGCCACCCUUCUCUCUACUAAUGCAGCACAUGAUCCAUUGAUCUGUAGAAGCUAAAAUUUGAGACUUGCGUGACAAGAAAUCAAGAGAAACUGUACUUAUUACAUCAUCCAAAGAAACAACAGAAGAAAAGUGAUUAUUUUUGUACAGGCUUUGGAUUAGAUAUCCAUAGAUUGUGCCAUAUGAGUAUUAGCAAUAUCCACAUAAUCUUCCUCUCAACUAUGUGAAAGAGAUUCAAGACUAUCAGUUCAAGUUGGAGAUUGAAGCUAUUACCACAGAUGCAGUGGCGGACCCAAAAAAUUAUUUUAGUGGGUUCCUAAUAUAAAUGUUAAAAUAAAAAGAUGCAAUAAUAAUUAUAAAUAGUAUGAAAUACAUUAAUAUCAAAAAUAUUUUACUCUUUCUGUCAAAAAAAAAAUAUAUUCUACACUUGAAAAUUGUUUCCUAUAAUGUUUUCAUCAAGAGUUCAAGUGGGUUUAAAAAGAUUUCACCAUGAGUUCAGGAGAAGUUAAUUUUUUAAAACCCUACCGAGAGGAUCAAAGGGACAGAGCACGAGCAGCAGAGACAAUAUUUUCUAUUAUAAUUUUUAAACGUGGUAAACUACUAUUACAACCUUUUCUUUUGUAUUGUGUAUUGGGCUGUGUAAUUUUCUUUGGGCCUCUUCCUCUUUAAUAUGAUAGUGGAUUCCAAAAAUAAAUUCAAUAUAACAUAUCUCUUAAGCCCAGGCCCAAGUAGGUUCUUGGGCACCCAUUCACUUAUAUGUGGGUCCGUCCGUGCACAGAUGAACGAGACACCGAUCAUCCAUGCUUCAGACUUCAUGAAAGAACCCCUUAUAGGGUAUAUAAACGUCUUCCCGAACUUGGAUAUCUAGUUCCAGUUUCCUCAAGAAGUGAGGAUGAUGAAGACUAGGAGCCAUACCUUUUUCGUCGGGGGGAGAAGAAGCAUGAAGUAAUUGUUAUUAUUAAUAUAAUAUAUAGGUUUCCAUGUAAUAUUAGCGUGUCAUAUAAGAUAAGAAUAAAAGGAGAAAAGUCUCAAAUUGGUCACCGAAGUGAGCCUGUGAUAUCAAAAAUUAUAUCGAACUCAACGGGGUCUCAUCCGUACCACUUUAAUAACGGAUAAUGACAUACCCGUUAGUUUGACUAUUUGACCAAACGGAAAGCUGACCGUUUGUUUGACACGGUGGCUGACAGCAUCCUAAUCUGCAUCUGCGUGGAUUGUAACAUUGCAAAAUAAUUAAAUACCCCUUGUCCCCUCUUCUUUCCUCUCCCC
rnacentral:lncRNA from 1 species